rnacentral:lncRNA from 1 species
AGUGAUGACAUUAAUUACAUGCUUGAUGCGUUGAACAAGUUGGGGCUUAACGUGGAACGUGACAGUGAGAACAACCGUGCGGUUGUUGAAGGAUGUGGCGGGAUAUUCCCAGCUUCUUUAGAUUCUAAGGGUGAUAUCGAGUUGUACCUUGGGAAUGCAGGAACAGCCAUGCGUCCACUUACGGCUGCAGUUACUGCUGCUGGUGGCAACGCAAGGUAAGGUUAAGGACUUAUUCUGUUAGUUAGUUUUGAUUAUUUUAAGAAUCGGUCUUGUACUGAUGCUUUUUAGUUGGGUUUGUUUACCAGUUAUGUGCUUGAUGGGGUGCCUAGAAUGAGGGAAUCUUCGAUUAAAGGUAAUCUGGCCGGUUACUCUUCGAUUUAUGUUUCCUCUCCAAUAUUCUAGUAGUAAACCGCAAUCGAUUAUUUAUGAGUUAGAUUGGUUCAUGGGUUUUUGUGUUAAAAAGGCCCAGUAACUUCUUGGAGGCCCAUUUUAAAACCACCAAAUCUUAACCCUUUCAAGUCUUCACCUAACCAAAACCUUCCUUCCCACUUGCUGUCUGUAACACGUGGCAGGUUCUCAUUGGCUAAUAGGAAAUGCUCAUACACCAUCGUUUGAGGUGGGUUGGUGAAGGAUUUUGAUGGCUACCUUCUUCGUCACCAAACCCCCUCUAAAGUUUAUUAAAUCUGAGGAAGACAGAGAGUGGGUUUAGGUGAGCGAGUCCAAAGAUCGAAACUUUUUCUCCAAUGGCGCAAGCUAGCAGAAUCUGCCAUGGCGUGCAGCAGAACCCACGUGCUAUCUCCAAUCUCUCCAAAUCAAACCACCGCAAAUCUCCCUUCUCUGUCUCGCUGAAGACGCACCAGCAGCAGCGUCGAGCUUAUCAGAUAUCUUCGUGGGGGUUGAAGAAGAGUAACAACGGCUCCGUGAUUCGUCCGGUUAAGGUUAUGGCCUCUGUUUCCACGGCGGAGAAAGCGUCGGAGAUUGUGCUUCAACCCAUUAGAGAAAUCUCGGGUCUGAUCAAGCUACCCGGAUCCAAAUCUCUGUCCAAUCGGAUUCUUCUUCUUGCCGCUCUAUCUGAGGUCGGUUUGCUUCUUUCUAUGUUUGCUCAGUGUUGCGUUUUUAACGGCGUGAGAUUGAAGAAAGGUUCUGACUUUGUUGUGGUUUUGUAGGGAACUACUGUAGUUGACAACUUGUUGAACAGUGAUGACAUUAAUUACAUGCUUGAUGCGUUGAACAAGUUGGGGCUUAACGUGGAACGUGACAGUGAGAACAACCGUGCGGUUGUUGAAGGAUGUGGCGGGAUAUUCCCAGCUUCUUUAGAUUCUAAGGGUGAUAUCGAGUUGUACCUUGGGAAUGCAGGAACAGCCAUGCGUCCACUUACGGCUGCAGUUACUGCUGCUGGUGGCAA